rnacentral:lncRNA from 1 species
GUAUGUCAAUAGGGAAGUCGAAGGAGCAUCGCACAGAAGCAAAGAUAUGAUCAACAUUACUGAGCCGCUUCAGAUGAUACAUAUGGAUUUCUACGGAUCAGUUAAUGGUAUAUCUACAACAAAUCCAGAUAUCUUUUUGCGAUGAUCAUUGACUACUCUAGACUCUUUUGUGUUGUUCAUAUGUGUUCGAAGGACAAGACGUCACAAAUAGAGGUUGAUCAAGAUGAACCCUGAUCGUUGAUAAAUCCAGAAGACACCAUUAUUUCCAGUGACCAAUCAGAAGCAAACACUAACUCUUGGUAUGUGUUUGGAGGAAAAUGCCUCUUUGCAAGUCUUGCAUUUGAAGAUCAAAGAAUAUUUUCCUCGGCUACUCUAUGGAGUCUACAAUCUACAGGGUGAUUGUGAUUGAUCAAUAGAAGGUGAUUGUAAGUCUAGACGGGACAUUGAACGACACUUUGCUCCAAGCUGUUAAAGGUGAUAGUAUUGGUUUAAUAAUGAUUCAGAUCCAAGCAGAAUCUCUUUGCAAGGAUAAGGAUUAUUAAGGAGAUCCCAGCAACAGCUUAGGGGGAGCAUUUGGUGGAUCCACUAGUCAAACUCAACACCACAUUGAAGAUGAACAGGACAUAUCAAGAAUGCAUCUGCUUAGACAAAGGGUUUGAAGUCAAUAUCAUUCCCGGGUUCUAGUUCUUAAAUGUUUCGAAUAGUGAAGUGAAGACUAGGAGAGAUAUUGUGAAAGGAUGUUAUUUCUUUGGGUUUCAAUCUGAAGUGAAACUUAAGGAAGAUUCAGAAGCUCUUAAAGGGAUCCAGAUUGAGUGAUUGCACAACAAGAUGAUCUCAAUCAGUUUGAAAGCAGAUUGUGCGGAUUCUGAUACCCUGACCUAAUGACAAUUCAUUACUUAGUACUUGUCGGGUAUUUAGAUUCCAACUGGAUGUUUUUGGCUCUGUUACGAGGGACAAGCCAAUUUGGUUGCUAAGAGUUACUACAAAGGAGAAGGUUAUGAAGAUGAUGGAAAUAGAAUCUUCAAGUUCAGGACUCUACAUCUUAGGGGACUCAAUGACCUUCAAAAUUGAACUAAAGCGCCAUUGACGAGACUCGGGUUCACGAUAUUAAAGUGAGCAAGAAGAUGAAGAUUCAUACAACAUUUCAAGGACUUUGC